rnacentral:rRNA from 1 species
AGCGCAGGUGGACGUAUAGGUCCUUCUUAAAAGUUCGGGGCUCAGCCCCGUGAGGGGAAGGAAACCAUGCGUCUUGAGUGCAGGAGAGGGAAGCGGAAUUCCUGGUGUAGCGGUGAAAUGCGUAGAUAUCAGGAAGAGCACCAGUGGCGAAGGCGGCUUUCUGGACUGCAACUGACACUGAGGCUCGAGAGCCAGGGAGCGAACG